UACGUAGGGGGCAAGCGUUGUCCGGAUUUACUGGGCGUAAAGCGCGCGUAGGCGGAACGUUAAGUCCGGUCUGAAAGCCCCCGGCUCAACCGAGGAGGGUGGCUGGAAACUGGCGUUCUUGAGGGCGAGAGAGGAGGGUGGAAUUCCUGGUGUAGCGGUGAAAUGCGUAGAGAUCAGGAGGAACACCCGUGGCGAAGGCGGCCCUCUGGCUCGACCCUGACGCUGAGGCGCGAAAGCGUGGGGAGCGAACGGG
rnacentral:rRNA from 1 species